UGGGCUCGGAGAUGUGUAUAAGAGACAGUUCUCUAGUGGCGCACGGGUGAGUAACACGUGAGUAACCUGCCCCCGAGAGCGGGAUAGCCCUGGGAAACUGGGAUUAAUACCGCAUAGUAUCGAAAGAUUAAAGCAGCAAUGCGCUUGGGGAUGGGCUCGCGGCCUAUUAGUUAGUUGGUGAGGUAACGGCUCACCAAGGCGAUGACGGGUAGCCGGUCUGAGAGGAUGUCCGGCCACACUGGAACUGAGACACGGUCCAGACACCUACGGGUGGCAGCAGUCGAGAAUCAUUCACAAUGGGGGAAACCCUGAUGGUGCGACGCCGCGUGGGGGAAUGAAGGUCUUCGGAUUGUAAACCCCUGUCAUGUGGGAGCAAAUUAAAAAGAUAGUACCACAAGAGGAAGAGACGGCUAACUCUGUGCCAGCAGCCGCGGUAAUACAGAGGUCUCAAGCGUUGUUCGGAAUCACUGGGCGUAAAGCGUGCGUAGGCUGUUUCGUAAGUCGUGUGUGAAAGGCGCGGGCUCAACCCGCGGACGGCACAUGAUACUGCGAGACUAGAGUAAUGGAGGGGGAACCGGAAUUCUCGGUGUAGCAGUGAAAUGCGUAGAUAUCGAGAGGAACACUCGUGGCGAAGGCGGGUUCCUGGACAUUAACUGACGCUGAGGCACGAAGGCCAGGGGAGCGAAAGGGAUUAGAUACCCCUGUAGUCCUGGCAGUAAACGGUGCACGCUUGGUGUGCGGGGAAUCGACCCCCUGCGUGCCGGAGCUAACGCGUUAAGCGUGCCGCCUGGGGAGUACGGUCGCAAGAUUAAAACUCAAAGAAAUUGACGGGGACCCGCACAAGCGGUGGAGUAUGUGGUUUAAUUCGAUGCAACGCGAAGAACCUUACCUGGGCUUGACAUGUAAUGAACAACAUGUGAAAGCAUGCGACUCUUCGGAGGCGUUACACAGGUGCUGCAUGGCCGUCGUCAGCUCGUGUCGUGAGAUGUUUGGUUAAGUCCAGCAACGAGCGCAACCCCUGUUGCCAGUUACCAGCACGUGAAGGUGGGGACUCUGGCGAGACUGCCCAGAUCAACUGGGAGGAAGGUGGGGACGACGUCAGGUCAGUAUGGCCCUUAUGCCCAGGGCUGCACACGUACUACAAUGCCCAGUACAGAGGGGGCCGAAGCCGCGAGGCGGAGGAAAUCCUAAAAACUGGGCCCAGUUCGGACUGUAGGCUGCAACCCGCCUACACGAAGCCGGAAUCGCUA
rnacentral:rRNA from 1 species